rnacentral:lncRNA from 1 species
CUUUGGGGCAAACUUCUGCAUACNUAGUCAGAAGUAAGUUCAGCUUUGUUACUACAAUUAUUACUAUUAUUNUUAUUUAUAAAUCAUCUUCCUUCAAAACAGAAGAAAGCCCAAGGCAAUUUACCAUCAGCAAAAGAACUUCAGAAGACAAUCAAAACACCNCCCUUGUAAAUGCACAUGAACACCCUGGAGCACACCACCACCAGUUGUGCAAAAACAGGGGAUUUCUAAUGGGUCCCACCCCAUUAUGAUGUCACUGCCCAUAUAUGGGUUGAGAGCUGCAGUGCUGUGCAAGGUCUUCCUGACUGAUGAACGUGAAGUGAUUAUCACAGAAUUGGCUGCCUUUGACUUGAUGGCACAUCAUUUGAAGAUACCUGCUUUAAGGAAAGCAUGCCAGAAGAAGGAAAGGCUAGAGGAUUACAUCAUCAGNGCAAAUGUGCAUUUCUGCACCUGCAAAGGCUCCAUGGCAGCUUGGGUGGCAAGGAGAUUGNGAUCAGGGGCAUAGAUCUUCAGAAGACACAAAAGAAGAUAGAGCCAUCUGCCUUUGCUUUCUACCUGGGAGGACAUGCCCUCAGGUCUCCUGAGAGGAAAAUGUAGUUUUUGCUGAUAAGAUAUAUCUGUGCACAGGAUUGCAUAUGUGCUUUGAAUUUCUUCCGCAACUAACAUUUUUGUAUUAUUCUUUCGACAAUAAAGAUUUUGCUUGGUU